GACGAACGCUGGCGGCGUGCCUAACACAUGCAAGUUGAGCGACGAACCAGGGCUUGCCCUGGGGCAAAGCAGCGAACGGGUGAGUAACACGUGGGUAACCUACCCCGAUAACCGGGACAACCCGAGGAAACUCGGGCUAAUACCGGAUGUGCUCACUGGACUUCGGUUCAGUGCGUAAAGGAAGCUUCGGCCUCCGUAUCGGGAGGGGCCCGCGGCCCAUUAGUUUGUUGGUGAGGUACGGCUCACCAAGACCGCGAUGGGUAGCUGGUCUGAGAGGACGAUCAGCCACACUGGGACUGAGACACGGCCCAGACUCCUACGGGAGGCAGCAGUGGGGAAUCUUGCGCAAUGCGCGAAAGCGUGACGCAGCAACGCCGCGUGGGGGAAGAAGGCCUUCGGGUUGUAAACCCCUUUCAGGAGGGACGAAGGUUCGGCGGUGAAUAGCCGUCCGGACUGACGGUACCUCCACAAGAAGCCCCGGCUAACUACGUG
rnacentral:rRNA from 1 species